rnacentral:rRNA from 1 species
GAUGAACGCUGGCGGCGUGCCUAAUACAUGCAAGUCGAGCAAACAGACGAGGAGCUUGCUCCUCUGACGUUAGCGGCGAACGGGUGAGUAACACGUGGAUAACCUACCUAUAAGACUGGGAUAACUUCGGGAAACCGGAGCUAAUACCGGAUAAUAUAUUGAACCGCAUGGUUCAAUAGUGAAAGACGGUUUUGCUGUCACUUAUAGAUGGAUCCGCGCCGCAUUAGCUAGUUGGUAAGGUAACGGCUUACCAAGGCAACGAUGCGUAGCCGACCUGAGAGGGUGAUCGGCCACACUGGAACUGAGACACGGUCCAGACUCCUACGGGAGGCAGCAGUAGGGAAUCUUCCGCAAUGGGCGAAAGCCUGACGGAGCAACGCCGCGUGAGUGAUGAAGGUCUUCGGAUCGUAAAACUCUGUUAUUAGGGAAGAACAAAUGUGUAAGUAACUAUGCACGUCUUGACGGUACCUAAUCAGAAAGCCACGGCUAACUACG